rnacentral:misc_RNA from 1 species
CCUGGAGAUCUGAGGGG